GACGAACGCUGGCGGCGUGCCUAAUACAUGCAAGUAGAACGCUGAAGAGAGGAGCUUACUCUUCUUGGAUGAGUUGCGAACGGGUGAGUAACGCGUAGGUAACCUGCCUUGUAGCGGGGGAUAACUAUUGGAAACGAUAGCUAAUACCGCAUAACAAUGGAUGACACAUGUCAUUUAUUUGAAAGGGGCAAUUGCUCCACUACAAGAUGGACCUGCGUUGUAUUAGCUAGUAGGUGAGGUAAUGGCUCACCUAGGCGACGAUACAUAGCCGACCUGAGAGGGUGAUCGGCCACACUGGGACUGAGACACGGCCCAGACUCCUACGGGAGGCAGCAGUAGGGAAUCUUCGGCAAUGGGGGCAACCCUGACCGAGCAACGCCGCGUGAGUGAAGAAGGUUUUCGGAUCGUAAAGCUCGGUUGUAAGUCGAGAACGGGUGUGAGAGUGGAAAGUUCACACUGUGACGGUAGCUUACCAGAAAGGGACGGCUAACUACGUG
rnacentral:rRNA from 1 species